UACAGAGGUCUCAAGCGUUGUUCGGAUUCAUUGGGCGUAAAGGGUGCGUAGGUGGUGACGCAAGUCUGGUGUGAAAUCUCGGAGCUCAACUCCGAAAUUGCACCGGAUACUGCGUGACUCGAGGACUGUAGAGGAGAUCGGAAUUCACGGUGUAGCAGUGAAAUGCGUAGAGAUCAUGAGGAAGACCAGUGGCGAAGGCGGGUCUCUGGACAGUUCCUGACACUGAGACACGAAGGCCAGGGGAGCAAACGGG
rnacentral:rRNA from 1 species